UAGGGAAUAUUGGUCAAUGGGCGAGAGCCUGAACCAGCCAUGCCGCGUGCAGGAUGACGGCCUUCUGGGUUGUAAACUGCUUUUCUACAGGAAGAAAAAGGCCUUGCGAGGCAAAUUGCCGGUAUUGUAGGCAUAAGCACCGGCUAACUCCGCGCCAGCAGCCGAGGUAAUACGGAGGGUGCAAGCGUUGUCCGGAUUUAUUGGGUUUAAAGGGUGCGUAGGCGGAUCUUUAAGUCAGUGGUGAAAUGCCAGAGCUUAACUCUGGAACUGCCAUUGAUACUGGAGAUCUUGAGUUCAGUUGAGGUAAGCGGAAUUGAUGGUGUAGCGGUGAAAUGCAUAGAUACCAUCAGGAACACCGAUUGCGAAGGCAGCUUACUGGGCUUGAAUUGACGCUGAUGCGCGAAAGCGUGGGGAGCGAACAGGAUUAGAUACCCCCGUAGUCC
rnacentral:rRNA from 1 species